UAUGUUUUGAAUUUUGUGUAGAUUAAAUGAACUUUGACUCUUCUUGUUCAGUUCUUGGAUUUUAAGGAAACACAAAAUAAGAAAACGUUCACUCCCCCCAUUCAGGACUUACGGGGGUUGGGGUUGUAUUGCAGCGCGACCACAAACUAAAACAAAUUGAAGUUCCACAGUGUUCUCCUGUCCUGCAACUCAGCCGGGCAUUGACUAUUAAUCAAGUACCAGUCGGUGAACGUCAGCACCAAUCUGUAUGUGAUCAGUCAGCCGUGGCUCUACACUUUGGCCUGGUGUUCCGGAGCUCAGUCUGUAACCACCAACUCCAUCCACAUCCUGUCCAGCAUCAACAAGCCGCUCUUCCUCAUGACUCAAGAGGAAUACAAUUUGAUGUGGAUUCUGACUGAUGCUAUGUCUGCCCUGCUCAUCAUAGCAGUUUUCAUAUUCCAUUGGUGGAGAGAGAGAGGCCUGCCCUGGUCCGGCAGCCGACAGACACAUGAGAAUGGAACGUACAGCAAGUUCAGGACAGACUCCUCAGAGGUCAUCUGUUUUCGCUGGAGCCCCCUCCACUCUGACCCCCCUGCUGGAGCCCUGGUCUCCCUCCCUUUGGUCUUCAACCCAUGACCCCCUGCAUGACCCCCUGCAUGGCGCCUCAGGGGAACCUUGUAUGAACUCUGAACUUUGUCUGAACUGUACAAGCUGCUACUCUUACUGUAGGAGAGUAGCACCCUCUCUGAAGCCCACACAGAGACCUGUGGGAUUUAAACAACUGAGAGGAUCAAGAACUACAGAAACUGUUGUAGAAAAACCCUCCAUU